ensembl:piRNA 21ur-12389 ncRNA
UAUUUAUUUCAACACUAAGAG